UGGGGAAUAUUGCACAAUGGGGGAAACCCUGAUGCAGCGACGCCGCGUGAACGAAGAAGGUAUUCGUAUCGUAAAGUUCUGUCCUAUGGGAAGAUAAUGACAGUACCAUAGAAGAAAGCUCCGGCUAAAUACGUGCCAGCAGCCGCGGUAAUACGUAUGGAGCGAGCGUUGUCCGGAAUUAUUGGGCGUAAAGGGUACGCAGGCGGUUUAAUAAGUCGAAUGUUAAAGAUCGGGGCUCAACCCCGCAAAGCAUUGGAAACUGAUAAACUUGAGUAGUGGAGAGGAAAGUGGAAUUCCUAGUGUAGUGGUGAAAUACGAAGAUAUUAGGAGGAAUACCAGUAGCGAAGGCGACUUUCUGGACACAAACUGACGCUGAGGUACGAAAGCGUGGGGAGCAAACAGG
rnacentral:rRNA from 1 species